AAAAUGUUAAAGUUCUUAUUUCAUGGUAUAACUUUGGUAUGCUUGGACCUAGAGUCUUCAAACUUGACAUGAAGGUUGGCCAGGAUUAACAGAUGACCACUGGUCAUUUCAAGGUCAUUCAUUUGAAGGUCAAGGUCACUGUGACCUUCAAUAUAAAAAAUGUUAAAGUUCUUAUAACUUUGGUAUGCUUGGACCUAGAGUCUUGAAACUUGACAUGAAGGUUGGCCAUAACUAGUUAGUAACCACUGGUCAUUUCAAGGUCAUUCAUUUGAAGGUCAAGGUCACUGUGACCUUGAAUGUAAAAAUGUUAAAGUUCUUAUUUCAUGGUAUAACUUUGGUAUGCUUGGACCUAGAGUCUUCAAACUUGACAUGAAGGUUGGCCAGGAUUAACAGAUGACCACUGCUCAUUUCAAGGUCAUUCAUUUGAAGGUGAAGGUCACUGUGACCUUCAAUAUAAAAAUGUUAAAGUUGUUAUAACUUUGGUAUGCUUGGACCUAGAGUCUUGAAACUUGACAUGAAGGUUGGCCAGAACUAGUAAGUAACCACUGGACAUUUCAAGGUCAUUCAUUUGAAGGUCAAGGUCACUGUGACCUUGAAUGUAAAAAUGUUAAAGUUGUUAUAACUUUGGUAUGCUUGGACCUAGAGUCUUGAAACUUGACAUGAAGGUUGGCCAGAACUAGUAAGUAACCACUGGACAUUUCAAGGUCAUUCAUUUGAAGGUCAAGGUCACUGUGACCUUGAAUGUAAAAAUGUUAAAGUUCUUUUUUCAUGUUAUAACUUUGGUAUGCUUGUACCUAGAGUCUUCAAACUUGAAAUAAAGAUUGGCCAGUACUAGAAGAUGACCACUGGUCAUUUCAAUGUCAUUCAUUUGAAGGUCAAGGUCACUGUGACCUUAAAUGUUAUUGUUGUUCAUGUAUAUGCAUGCAUUCAAAACAUAACACAAGGUUUGCUCAUGCCUUGAAAAGUACUUACAUUUCAUUUUGACCUUUGAACAAUAUUUCAGUAAUUUAAGUAUUGCAUUGACAAAAACACGAAAGGUACUUUCCUGUCAUUUAAAUCAAAAAUCCGGCUUCAAUGCGGUCAUCUCCGACCGCGGAACUCUUGUGAAACUUUGUCAGAAGAUUCAUCCUAAUUAUAUCUUGGACAAGUUUGAAAAUGGUUUGGGUUGGUUGAAAAACAUGGCCACCAGGGGGCAGGGCAUGUUUUCUUUUAUGGCUAAAGUUAAACCUUGUUUACACUCUAGUUAAGUAUUCUCAAAGUUAAAUGUAGUAAUAUUUCUUUCGCAGAAAAUUUCUUAAGGGCGAAAAAGACUGUUCUUAGCUUGAAUUGUUUGAAUUCCAAUCAUGAAUGCACACUUAAUUACUCCAACUGACCCUUAUCAGCUGCCUGAGCACAAAUCAAUACACAUAUCUGAGUGAAUAUUAUUGUUCUAUUUUUGGAUCAGCAACUUGAUACCUUGUUGAGCUAUUUCUUUAAUGUGUGCCACCAUAGAUAAGAAAAGAUAGCUAUUUGAGGUACAGUUUAUUGAUGAGGUCUGAAUUUUUUUGUGAUUAUCAAAGAUUUGUGUUAAAAAACGGAUUUAUUGAUUUUUUUAUUGGAAAUAUAAUUGCAAGGUGAA